rnacentral:rRNA from 1 species
CCUACGGGGGGCAGCAGUGGGGAAUAUUGGACAAUGGGGGCAACCCUGAUCCAGCCAUGCCGCGUGUGUGAAGAAAGCCCUCGGGUUGUAAAGCACUUUCAGUGAGGAAGAACGCCUGGUGGUUAAUACCCAUCAGGAAAGACAUCACUCACAGAAGAAGCACCGGCUAGCUCCGUGCCAGCAGCCGCGGUAAUACGGAGGGUGCGAGCGUUAAUCGGAAUUACUGGGCGUAAAGCGCGCGUAGGUGGCUUGAUAAGCCGGUUGUGAAAGCCCCGGGCUCAACCUGGGAACGGCAUCCGGAACUGUCAAGCUAGAGUGCAGGAGAGGAAGGUAGAAUUCCCGGUGUAGCGGUGAAAUGCGUAGAGAUCGGGAGGAAUACCAGUGGCGAAGGCGGCCUUCUGGACUGACACUGACACUGAGGUGCGAAAGCGUGGGUAGCAAACAGGAUUAGAUACCCCGGUAGUC